GCUAAAAUAAUAUAAUUUUAUUGUAGAAUAAAUAUUUAUAAUAUUAUUUUUGAAAUGAAACGUUAUACGUUUUUAAUAUAUCUAGUUAUUUAAGAAAAAAAAUUAAAUUUUAUUGUUAAUAAUAUAUAAUUAAUUUUAUAAUUAUAUAUUAAUAAUAUUAAAUUUAUAAAGGGGAUAAGCUUUUAUAAAAAUUUUUAAAAGUUUUUAUUUUUAUAAAAAAUUAUAGGAUUAGUAGUUUCUAUUAUUAAAAUAAUGUUAUAGUUAAUUUUAUUUAAUUAUUAUUUAUAUAAAUUUUAAAUAGUUUAUUAAAUUAAAAAUUAUAAUUAAAUUAAGUUUUGAAAUAAUGAUAAAAUUAGUAGGAUUUUAUAUAAAAUAUAUAAAAGAUUAAGGUUAAUUAAAGGAAUUCGGCAAUAGAUUUUUUACCUGUUUAUUAAAAACAUGGCUUUUUGAUAAUAAUUAAAGGUCUGACCUGCCCACUGAGGAGUUUAAAGGCCGCGGUAAAUUGACCGUGCUAAGGUAGCAUAAUCAUUAGUUUUUUAAUUGAAAGCUGGAAUGAAUGGUUGGAUAAGAAAAUAACUGUCUUUAUUUAAUUUAUAAUGAAUUUUAUUUUUAAGUAAAAAAGCUUAAAUUAUUUUAAAAGACGAGAAGACCCUAUAGAGUUUUAUAAAGUUUAAAUUUUAAUUUUUUUAGUAUUAUUAUUUUGUAAUUGAAAUUUUAUUUGAUUGGGGCGAUUGAAAAAUUUAAUUAACUUUUUUUAUAUAUUUACAUAAAUUUAUGAUAAAUUGAUCCAUAAAUAAUGAUUAAAAGAUUAAAUUACCUUAGGGAUAACAGCGUAAUUUUUUUUGAGAAGUUCUAAUCGAAAAAAAAAGUUUGC
rnacentral:rRNA from 1 species